UGAGUGAGUGAGUGAGUGUUGGCCAACCAAGUGUGCAGUGCCGGAAUUUGUUGGUGGUAUGUCACAUGGAGCACUUAACUAAACAAACUUUGUUCUCGGCUAGAGUUUGAUGCAAGCUAUCGAACUGUUCACCAUUCCACCGCCUUACAGAACCACCCACUGUAACUGUUUUGAAGCCACAGUUGCUUGCACCAUUCUCCCAGAGGUGGACUUGGGGAUGUAUUUGGGGGAGGAGUGAAACAGUUGGUCAGAACUAGUCGUACAGCAAAAAUUUGAGGGAGCCAUCUGGAGGUGGCAUUGAGGCAGCAACAACAUACAUCACAACCUGUCUGUGGAAAUGGCAUGGCAAGCCGUUCCACAGGACUACAUCCAGCAUCUCUACGAUCGUCUCCAUGACGAUGAGGAAACAGGAGCUGAAGCUGUGGCUGGUGCCAGAGCUGAUGUCCACUUCCUGGUGUUUGUUUUAUGACUAUCCCAGAAUUUCAGCUAAGAAAUAAGGCAGAGGGCACUUCUCUGCACUUAGCGACAGUGCGAGGUCUUCCGUUGAUGACUACAGCGACAUCUUGAAGUGGUGCGAGAGCCCCGUGGAUAGCUGCAUAAUGAAGAGAAACGGACACAUGUGGACUUCCGCUGUCACUGCUAGCCACCAAGCGGUGUGUGGCGGGGGGCACUAUUCGCGCCGAAGCCAUAUCGCCCCCUCCGUUCCACUCGCGGAUCUCGUGAGGGGAUAAAAGACUGUCUGAAUGCCUCAG
rnacentral:lncRNA from 1 species